rnacentral:rRNA from 1 species
UGGAUAAUCAACCUCUUGCUCUGGAAUACCCCGGGGAAACUCGGAUCAAUGCCAGAUAAAGUGCGGUGCUGUCGGGUGCCGUACCAAAGAUAGCUUCGGCCUUCGGCGAGAGACGAGUCCGCGUCCGAUUAGCUAGUUGGUGAGGUAAUGGCUCACCAAGGCGACGACGGGUAGCUGGUCUGAGAGGACGACCAGCCACACUGGAACUGAGAUACGGCCCAGACCUCUACGGGA